AAUAGAUACCCCGGUAGUCCACGCCGUAAACGAUGAGUGCUAAGUGUUAGGGGGUUUCCGCCCCUUAGUGCUGCAGCUAACGCAUUAAGCACUCCGCCUGGGGAGUACGGCCGCAAGACUGAAACUCAAAGGAAUUGACGGGGGCCCGCACAAGCGGUGGAGCAUGUGGUUUAAUUCGAAGCAACGCGAAGAACCUUACCAGGUCUUGACAUCCCAUUGACCACUAUGGAGACAUAGUUUUCCCUUCGGGGACAACGGUGACAGGUGGUGCAUGGUUGUCGUCAGCUCGUGUCGUGAGAUGUUGGGUUAAGUCCCGCAACGAGCGCAACCCUUGUUCUUAGUUGCCAUCAUUUAGUUGGGCACUCUAAGGAGACUGCCGGUGACAAACCGGAGGAAGGUGGGGAUGACGUCAAAUCAUCAUGCCCCUUAUGACCUGGGCUACACACGUGCUACAAUGGAUGGUACAAAGGGCUGCAAGACCGCGAGGUCAAGCCAAUCCCAUAAAACCAUUCUCAGUUCGGAUUGUAGG
rnacentral:rRNA from 1 species